rnacentral:lncRNA from 1 species
AUUGAGUGCAUCAUCGCUAAUCAGCUACUAUGUAUGGUCAGCGGACAUGCUUGCUUAUUCCUGUAACAUAUCAUUACUCUAUCUGCUUAGCCUUUCUAACUUUUAAGAUUUGAUCAAUUCUUUAGAAGUUCGUACAGAUCUAGAAGUAUUUGGUUUUGUUGGUCAAAUCCAUUACCUGUAUGUCCUUAUUUAUUUUAUUGUUCGAACAAGAUAUCAGAUCACCUACAUUCAUUAUUCUUGAUUACAGUCUCAUACUAAAGUAGUCUAAAAUGGUCUGAAUAGUUGUAGUAAUUCAUAAAUAUUUUCAGUGUAGUUCUUAUUUGGUUUCUAGGCAUAGAAUUUACUUCAAAAUUUUGAUCUUUAUUUGGUUAGUAAGGCUCUAGAAUAAAACAGACCAAUGAUAUAUAUACAAACAGACACAAUAGGAGUUAACUGGUACCUAGCUUUUGAAACCUCUGAUAUAUACAAAAUAUUAUUUGAGUAGAACAGGAGAGAUGCAAUCUUAUGGAUAUUUCCGCAUUUGUAAGAAACUUUCCAGCUUGGCAAGAGGGCUUGACUAGCCAUGUGUAGGACUCAGCCAUGCUGCCUUCCAAAUGAUUAGUCAUUGGUGUUUUCUUAUGUUCGUGUUAGCCCAAGUGCAUCAGAUAAGUAGACUGUUAUGUUGAAAAAAGGAAAGAGACUACUCUUUUGUUACUUACAGUACAGAUAUAUGCUAUAACAUAUUACCUUUAUGCUCUCGAUUUCAGUAUACGCCUGCGAACAAGUAAGUCAGUAAUAUCAAUGCCUAAGAAUUACUUUGUUUGCCAUGCUAAUCAUUACAUCAGAGAGCAAUGGAUAUAGAAGAAAUAUGUAAACAGUUGUCCCUAGAAGAAAUAUGCAACAACUUAUUCAGGUUACUUAAUUAAUAACGCAUCUAUAUCAUUACAUACACAUACUGAAUGUGCCUUUUGAGAGUGAGCUUCUGUCAGUACCUCACACUUAUCUUAUAUGCCAUUCCAACUAUCUGUUGCAGUAGAGAGCAAGGGACAUAUAAGAAAUCUCCAGGCAGCUUCACUUAGAUGCAUCAUCUUCUGCUAGGAGUCAGCUUGAAGAACGACCUUCUCAG